rnacentral:tRNA from 1 species
GGGUCGGUACCCGAGUGGCCAAAGGGGAUGGGCUGUAAACCCAUUGCGUUACCGCUACGUUGGUUCGAAUCCAACCCGGCCCA